rnacentral:ncRNA from 1 species
UUCGCAGCUCUUUCGUGUUAAUAGUGGUAUUCAUGGCCGAAUAUCAUGGUUAGUGAAUC